UACGUAGGGACCAAGCGUUGUUCGGAUUUACUGGGCGUAAAGGGCGCGUAGGCGGCGCGGUAAGUCACUUGUGAAAUCUCUGAGCUUAACUCAGAACGGCCAAGUGAUACUGCAGUGCUAGAGUGUGGAAGGGGCAAUCGGAAUUCUUGGUGUAGCGGUGAAAUGCGUAGAUAUCGAGAGGAACACCUGCGGCGAAGGCGGGUUGCUGGGCUGACACUGACGCUGAUGCGCGAAAGCCAGGGGAGCGAACGGG
rnacentral:rRNA from 1 species